UAAUACGUAGGGCGCAAGCGUUGUCCGGAAUCACUGGGUGUAAAGGGUGCGUAGGCGGAUGGGUAAGUCAGCGGUGAAAUCUCACGGCUCAACCGUGAAACUGCCGAUGAUACUGCCCAUCUUGAGUUCGGGAGAGGUCGAUGGAAUUCCAGGUGUAGCGGUGAAAUGCGUAGAUAUCUGGAAGAACACCAGUGGCGAAGGCGGUCGACUGGCCCGCAACUGACGCUGAGGCACGAAAGCGUGGGGAUCAAACAGGAUUAGAUACCCUGGUAGUCCACGCCCUAAACGAUGAAUGCUUGGUGUUGGCCUUUCGGGGUCAGUGCCGUAGGAAACCUGAUAAGCAUUCCACCUGGGGAGUACGCUCGCAAGGGUG
rnacentral:rRNA from 1 species